rnacentral:rRNA from 1 species
AAGCUUCGGCAGAUUGUUCUAGUGGCGGACGGGUGAGUAACGCGUGGGUACCUGCCUUAUACAGGGGGAUAACAGUCAGAAAUGACUGCUAAUACCGCAUAAGGCUGCAUGGCAAAAACUCCGGUGGUAUAAGAUGGACCCGCGUUGGAUUAGCUAGUUGGUGAGGUAACGGCCCACCAAGGCGACGAUCCAUAGCCGGCCUGAGAGGGUGAACGGCCACAUUGGGACUGAGACACGGCCCAGACUCCUACGGGAGGCAGCAGUGGGGAAUAUUGCACAAUGGGGGAAACCCUGAUGCAGCGACGCCGCGUGAAGGAAGAAGUAUCUCGGUAUGUAAACUUCUAUCAGCAGGGAAGAAAAUGACGGUACCUGACUAAGAAGCCCCGGCUAACUACGUGCCAGCAGCCGCGGUAAUACGUAGGGGGCAAGCGUUAUCCGGAUUUACUGGGUGUAAAGGGAGCGUAGACGGAUGGACAAGUCUGAUGUGAAAGGCUGGGGCUCAACCCCGGGACUGCAUUGGAAACUGCCCGUCUUGAGUGCCGGAGAGGUAAGCGGAAUUCCUAGUGUAGCGGUGAAAUGCGUAGAUAUUAGGAGGAACACCAGUGGCGAAGGCGGCU